AUGGUUUUGCAGCGUUAACGAUCCAGGUAAGUCUAAUUUGUUUUUGCUUGAGCUUUGACCAGUGUAAUUCCAUGUUUGUACAUGCCUAUAAUUUCUAUAAAUGUGCAUGUGAACACUUGGUGAUUUAUUGUGGGAUAGUCCAGAGAUCGUAAAUAACCACCCAAAGGUUAAAGGUCUUGAUCAGCUUAUUUCAUGUGUGUUUACCGAUAGGUUUGCUGUGUGACGUGGAGGAGCCUCCAUAUGACGAGGAAGACCAGUUCAGUUUCGCGGACGUCGAGCUGCUGCCACCUCCUGAACUCUACGCCGACUUUUUCUGAGCUGUCAGACUCCAGGCUCCUGUUGGCACUCAGGAAAUACAGUCCAGUUCUCUGACUGCUGCUGUUACAGCACGUGUUUCAGACUGUUCGACUAAACACUGAACUCUUCUAGCCAGAAGUGUGUGUGUGUGUGUGUGUGUGUGUGUGUGUGUGUGUGAGAUUUAACUUCAGGUGUAAAAGAAGGCAGAGUUAAAUAGCACGUUAAUAAAAGAAUGCGAACGGGCGUAGCACUUUAUGGGUGUGUAUUAUAUUGUGUCUAAAUGUUGCACCUCAUUUGGGCUGUGAAGACUUUGCACCAUCUUGUAUGAGCUUCCUUUGUGUUUUCAUUUGAACACCUUUUUUUUUGUUGUUGUUGUUCAUGAUGCAGUGUUUCGGCAUCAUUUGUGUUCUUGUAUGUUUGUAUUAAAACUCAUUUCUGAAUGAAUGCAAACAAUAAAUG